GGAAAAAAAAUCAGUGCCUCAACGUGAAGUGCGGGGCAGAGAGGGUUGGUUUUCCCGGAUGAGCCUUAGAGGCCUUGUUCUUUAUGAAAAACGGGAUCUAGAGAAUACUUCCCAACUUGGCAGCUUUCACAAAGCACCCCCAUUUGACGGCGAGAACAAUAACGGACAACAGUCUGGGCUGGCAGAGGAAAGUCAGACGGAAACUGAGGCCAGGCAGCUCAGAUCUGCGGCCACGAAAGGGUCAAGGCACGGGUGCCCACGCCGACUGGGCGCCCCAGCUCCCAGUUUUGAAGGCAAGCAAAUUCCACUACAAAAUAUCGUACUCUCACACCUGCGCGUGCUCCGGGGUGGGGGACCGACCCGACUCCAGGCCGCGUCAGCUCCGAGCCGGGACCCCCGGACCGGAGGGCGGUGAGGGGGCGCGAUUUCUCCGACGAGACGAGUCUGGGAGCCAAGAUUCGCAGCUGGCGGGGCGCGGGGAGGGGGCGCGCGCCGACGCGCACAUUCCACGCCCGCAGCCAACUCCCCGCACAAAGUGGGCUUUGUCUCGGCCCCCUGUGCCCUCGCCCCCGGGAAGGAGCGGCGGAGCCCCCAGAAGGGGGAAGGGCGCGGCGGGGAAGAGAAGCGGGUAGGGCCAAGGCCCCGACGGUACCCAGCCGGGCGCGUCUCAGCGGGCGGAUGGCGGGCACCCGGCGCCAACCUGCGCCAGCCGAGCCAUCACGGGGCGCGGGUCCCGCUCCCGGGCCCGGGGCUCAGCGGGGAAGGCUCGGGCGGGGCGCAGGGUCACCGAGCGGCGGGCUGCGGCCACAGGGUCGCCGCCCUGGACUGGCUGCAGCAUGGGCGGUGGCGCGGCCGGGACGGGCGAAGGAUGCUCCGCGGCUGUUAGCUCGGGCUCCAGCUGCGUACCCCACGCCCCCAGCUAAGGGCUGGAGGCAGGACAGCUGGGCGGGGAGAGCAAGCCCGGAGGCUCGCGCAGCCACGGCCGCGGAUGAAGCUAGAGGCGAGUGACAAAGCCUCGGCGAGAGCGGGCUGCGCUAGUCCCCGGAGAGCAGCCCGCCGAGCGCGGGGUCCACGCGCAGGUCGCUUCUCCGAGGCUCGGCGAAGAUCAGGCCACCGCCACCCCCGCCGCCUCAGGACCCAGCAGCUGCCGGCGGGGUCCACUGCCGGCCCGCCGCCCACCCGGCGCGACUCCGGCCCGCGCCGCGCAUGCGCUCCGUCCCCCCCUUAAAGGGCCAGUGCGUUCCCGCCGGGGCCUCCGUCUCCCUCAGCCAUUCCUCUGCCCCCAGUUACCACUAGGAUGCCGGUGGGCUUGCGCUCCCCUCUCACCCCUCUCUCAGGACGCCGCGAAGCCGGUGCAGAGCUGCAGGCGAAGUUCGCAACGAACUCAAACUCCAUGGAGAUUCCGGGCUCGGAAGGCCCGCGGUCGGGAAUUUCCUAAGGGGACUGCCUGACUGAAUUUCCCUCAGGGUGUAGAAACCAGACUAUGGUUUGAAAAUCCAGGGUUCUAGAUCGUGUGGGACAUGCAACAGAUCACUGCCUUCUAUGGGCCUCGGUUUCCCCAUCUGUCAGCCGAGGUCUUCACACUGGAGUGGUGGAGCGGAAAAGCCUCGAACUGGGAGCAAAAGCAAGGAACUUGACUAAGGACACCCACCCUUGGAACGCAGCCACCAUGUUGUGAGGAAGCCCAAGCCACAUGGGAGAGGUGACAUGAAGUGGUCUGGCCGAUAUCUCCAGCUGGGCUCUCAGGCAACAGCCUGCCUCAACCACCAGCUAGGUGGUGAACUGAGACAAUUCCGGCCCCCAGCCUUUGAGUCUUUCAGCCAGCGUUCCAGAUAAGGAGCAGAGACAAGCCAACCCCACCGUACCCUGUCUGAAUCUCUCUCCCACAGAAAUUGGGAGAUAAGAAGUGAUCGUUGUUGUUUUUAAGCCGAUUAGUCCGUUAAAUACAAAGAAAACAUUGCAGUGAAACUGGACAGGAGGACCAUUGUAUCGGUUAGCAGUACUGACUCAUGGCACACGGCAUCUGGGGUGACCAGGAUGAAGACAAGCUUCAAGCUGAAGGUUGAGCAGCAUCUUCUUAAAACGCAGAAGACAUCCUUGAGGAACCCUAAGUAUUUAGCUGGAAUCUUGUGCUGGUGGCCAAUUGUCUCCAUGUGUGUGCUUGGGAGAAUAAAAGGAAACGAACUGGUUUUCUUUCAACACUGUCCUCACUCACCUGGCACCUGAGAAAGAAAGAGGGAGAGAGGAACAGGAGGGGAAAAGGAGAAGCUUUCUGAAUUUGAGGAACAAAAUUUCAGCUGCCCAGAGACUGUCUAGAGGGGUGUCCGCUUCUCCCGCCCUUCCGUCUCUCCCCUCACCACCUCCCCGGAGGCAUCUGGGACCUCACUCUCACCACUUACCUCCUCCCCUCUCUGCUACAAGCGAGUCCAGAUUUUUAGUAAUCUGUUGACCAUGUUGAAGUUUAUCUGAGCUCCGUGCUCCCAGAGAGCCGGGGAGCUGGGACAGUGGAGAAACUGCAAAGGACAACCCUGCCCUCACGUAUUCAGCUUAUUCCCAUCCCACUCUUCAGAUGAGACCCACCCCACUACAGAUGAGAUCCAUUCCAGCCUUCAGGUGAGACCUGCUGUCCACUCUCCUCCCCACUCUCUUGCCUCUGUAAAACCCCUCCUGCCUUUUCUCGGAGAUAUUCUGCAUUAAUGAAUGACCUCCCUCUUGCUAGAGCCUGAAUAAGAUCAUCUCUUUAAUUAUCCAGUGUAUUUCUUUCACACUGUGCUGCCCAUCCUGGGAGUCUGAAAUAGAACCAUAAGCACAUUUGGAGUUAGGAAGGGGAAUAACCCCAGCUGGUCUUGGGAAAGAUGUGAACAGCACCCAGUUAAUGGACUGGAGGUAAGGGUUCCUUGAAGCAUGCAUCGUCCUUCUGGCCAUGUUUUUCACUUCAAAACCUCAGAAGCAGUUGGCUUAAGACGGAGUUUAUAGUAUGCCUAUGAAGCAAAACAUAAAUGCUCACUGUGAGUGUGUGGGGGUGGCAGCGCAGGAGAGGAGGGGUGCCGGAGACCCUCUUGGUGAGGGGCAGAUGCAGUUUUGUUCCCUUCACAAAGACUCCUGUUUGCUUGCUGACCCGCUGAACGCCAGACCACUUCCCAUUCAGUACUGGUUCUCUUCAAGUGUUGCUACGGCCAGGGCAGUUGUGUUUUGUACAGAUUUGCCAUUCGUCAGAGGUUGUUCCCAGAGGCCUGCGAGACAAGGACUUUUGUUGGGGGUCCGCUGGAGGAAGUUGGCUUUUCAAAAUCAGGAACCUUUUUGGCUUGUUAAAUGGAAAGAGGCGAUGGCCUCUUUGGCCCUAGUGUGGGAGACCUGGGGAAGCCAGGUCUUAAAGUGCUCACUUAAAAAUGCUGUUUUAAAAAAUAUGCAGUGAAAUGCUAAUAGCCAAUAGUUUAAUUAAAGAAAGACAGCACCUAUAGUCUCAACAUCCCAACAUAAUAUAAUAGGUGUUUAUUGUUUUCAUUUUAUAUAUCAGAUUCCAAUCUCAUAUUUUUACAGUUAGUGGCAAUACCGAUUUAUGUUUUUACACUCUUAACAUGAUGUCAUAUAAUCAUUUUAUUGUGCAAUACUAUAUGAUAUAAUUCCAUUGCCUUAAUGGAGCAUAUGUUAUCAUAUUAGACAUUCAGCUUGUCUUUUUUCUUUUUCUUUGCUCGUGUUGAUAAUGCUGAAAUUAACAUUGUGAGAUAUAACUUUCUGUUUUUGAAGAAUGAAACAUAAAUAACCGAGAGCUAAUAAAGGGAUUAAUUAAGCUCCUACAACAGCAGUUCUCAAAUCUUUUGUUCUCAGGGCCCCUUUACACUCGUAAAAGCAAUUGAGAACCCCAAACAGCUUUUGUUUCUAUAUUCUGAUAUUUCCCAUACUUUAUUAUAAAUUAUAACUGAGAAAAAUCUAAAUACUUAAUAUAUUUUAAAAUAACAAUAA